rnacentral:lncRNA from 1 species
UUUAUGAAUUCUGAAACCCUCCUUUCCUCCAUUCAUGGAAUCAGGACACUCCACUCUUAGGAUUGCUGGGCAAAUUUUGCUGGUGAUUUACUAGAGGAGACAGGCCCGGCCACUCCCUCCCUCGCCAUCCACCUGCGAAGGGCUGCCUGAAACCCAGCCUACUCAGAGGGCACUCUGCGUUGCCUUUUACAGUCUGGGUGGACAAAGAGAGGCUUCAGGAGCCAAGCCGGACCCAAAGGAGAAGGAGACACCCGCCCCCCCCCCCCACGGCCACCUCUGUCCCCAGGAGAAACCUGCCGCAUCACCGCUGCCGCUGACCCGCCCCUCCCAGCUGAAGACACACCUGGGCUGGAGGAGGACGCUCACCUGUUUCCCCAUGGGCAGCUCUAUGGGCCUGGGGGGGAACAGGGUCCCAUCGCCAGGUCUUUUCAACUUCAGCAUCCCAGGAUGGGAGAGAUCCGCGCAGAAGCGACCCCCAGAGACAUGAUGAAGACACUCAGCGGGCUGGGCCACAACUCCGAAGACCCAGAAACUCAGGAUCCCAGAAACCCAGCCAGAAAGCCCGGAGCCGAUAGAAAGUGGAAGCAGCAGAGCCGGAAAGAGAGGGGGUGGGUGUCUCUGAUGCCCACUCAGCGUGCAGAACCACCUGCAAGGUAUGUAUGUGUGUGAAUGCACAUAUCUUGUGUUUUGCGUGCUCAUUUAUUUAGCAUCAUGUAUGUGAGAGCGUGCAUGUCAGUGUCUUUACUGUCAUGGGUAUCUGUGCAUUCAUGAGUGCAUGUGACAAGCAUUUGUGUCAUGUGUACAAUUAUACUCCCCAGUGUUUAUCUUUGUGCUUGCCUUUUGUAAGCGUGUGUCUGUGUAUAUGCACAUCCUUGUCCAUCAUGUAUGUAAUUCUGUGUGUGUGAUGUAUGUCCGUAUAGGAUUCAGGUUCCAAGUCACGUGCGUGCCUUGUCUGGAUGCCGCCAGGAGUGUGUGUAUCUCUGCAGGCAUGCCUAUGCAUGUGCGUAUCAUCUGUGUAAUUAUUCGAUGCGAGUGGGAGCAUGUGUGUGUGUUCCUGCUCCAUGGGGGAUGACAGGCAGUUGGGAAGACGCUGAGCCCGUUUUAUCUGAGGUUAACAGGGGUCACACUUCACUCCUGGAAGUCCCUCACCCUCCUCCCCACCCUACACAAUUAAGCCUCAGUGUGGUGGAAAGACAGCCAGCACACAUUAAGAAAGGUCAACAAUAUUAUCAGCUCCUAAUCCAAUUAGUUACUGUUUAUUUGGGAAUCCGGCUCUAGGUCAGCUUCCAGGGAGAAGGCCUGGGAGAGAGAAGCUGCAAGAAACCACAGAAGGUGGCCAGGGCUGCGAGGGAGGGGAGAGGGCCAUCCUCAAGGCAGGGGCUGGGCAUGCCGCCUCCUCCGGGAAGGUGGGCGCUCUGGGAAGGGGUCCGUGUUGCAGAGCAGGGGUUGAAGUCUGAGGUUGCAUCUCCAGCUUGGGGUGCUGCCUCUCUCAUCCUGAGACAUCCUGCCUGUGUCCAGCCCCAGCAUCCUUACGGGGUGUCUGGGAGCGGGAUGGCUGCGUUGGGCUGCAGCUGGCUUCCCCUGGGAUAGCAGAGGCAGAGGAGGACUUGUUGAUCAACGGGCUGUUAGCUUUGGAAGCCACUCAUUACUCCCACCCUCUAUUUUAUCA